CCACUUGUGGCGCAUCACCGGCGCAGUCGAAGCCUGCACAGUCCUUGCGCUGCACCACCCGAGGCUCUGCGGCGGGUGUUGUGCCGCCCUCCGCCCUGCUUUUUGUGUCGAUGUGCCUUGCGAAGAAUCUUGAAAAUCACUGUGGUCAACAUUAAAAGUGUCAAGGUAAUACAACUGGUGCUUGAAAACCUUCAUCAGUGAGGUUUUGUUGCAAGUGGCAAGAGAGGCUGUCCUGUUCUUCCUAACAUCAUGACUGCUAAGCAAGAGAAAUUUGACAUAUCUUUAGACCGGAUGCUCGAUGACCUAAAGACGACCGUAGGAAGCGACGGCGAGAUGUCGGGGACGGAAGGGCGCUCAGACCCUCGG
rnacentral:lncRNA from 1 species